rnacentral:sRNA from 1 species
AGACGCGAUUUUAGAGCCCAGGAGGCCAAGCUGCCAUUUCCUCUCUGGUGGUGAUUUCCAAAAUGGACCCGGAGCUGACAGGUUCCUGGGGCCUGUAUGAACUCAAUCUCACCACUGAUAGCCCUGCCACCACGGGAGCGGAGGUGACCAUCUCGGCCAGCCUGGUGGCCAAGGACAACGGUAGCCUGGCCCUGUCCGCCGACGCCCACCUCUACCGCUUCCACUGGAUCCACACCCCGCUGGUGCUCACUGGCAAGACGGAGAAGGGUCUCAGCUCCACCAUCCGUGUGGUCGGCCACGUGCCCGGGGAAUUCCCGGUCUCCGUCUGGGUCACUGCCGCUGACUGCUGGAUGUGCCAGCCUGUGGCCAGGGGCUUCGUGGUCCUCCCCAUCACAGAGUUCCUCGUGGGGGACCUUGUUGUCACCCAGAACACUUCCCUGCCCUGGCCCAGCUCCUAUCUCACUAAGACUGUUCUGAAAGUCUCCUUCCUCCUGCACGACCCGAGUGACUUCCUCAAGACCGCCUUGUUUCUCUACAGCUGGGACUU